GACGAACGCUGGCGGCGUGCUUAACACAUGCAAGUCGAGCGAUGAAGCUCUUUCGGGAGUGGAUUAGCGGCGGACGGGUGAGUAACACGUGGGUAACCUGCCUCAUAGAGGGGAAUAGCCUUCCGAAAGGAAGAUUAAUACCGCAUAAGAUUGUAGUACCGCAUGGUACAGCAAUUAAAGGAGCAAUCCGCUAUGAGAUGGACCCGCGUCGCAUUAGCUAGUUGGUGAGGUAACGGCUCACCAAGGCGACGAUGCGUAGCCGACCUGAGAGGGUGAUCGGCCACAUUGGGACUGAGACACGGCCCAGACUCCUACGGGAGGCAGCAGUGGGGAAUAUUGCACAAUGGGGGAAACCCUGAUGCAGCAACGCCGCGUGAGUGAUGACGGUCUUCGGAUUGUAAAGCUCUGUCUUCAGGGACGAUAAUGACGGUACCUGAGGAGGAAGCCACGGCUAACUACGUGCCAGCCGCCGCCGUAAAAC
rnacentral:rRNA from 1 species